rnacentral:lncRNA from 1 species
GCAGUAGCAUGAUAACAGCUCACUGCAGCCUCGAUCUGUGUUCAAGGGAUCCUCCCACCUCAGUCUCUCAAGUAGCUAGGACUACAGACAUGCACCACCACACCUUGCAAAUUAAAAAAAUUUUUUUGUAAAGAUGGGGUCUUGCUAUGUUGUCCAGGCUGGUCUUGAACUCCUGGGCACAAGUGAUCCUCCUGCCUCACCCUCCCAGAGGGUUGGGAUUCCAGGCGUGAGCCACACUAAAUUUCAUUGUUUCAUGAUGUCACUGGAGGAAAGGGGAGAAAGAAACUUCUUACCAAAGCUUUGUUAAGAUGAGAAUCCAAAUUCUAUGACCCUUAUGUCAUUCCUAUUUCUAAAAAUGAUGUUACUUGAAUUAUCAGAAUGUUUGUUACUAGAACACACCCUCUUCUUUAAAACAGAACUGUAGCGGGUGCAGUGGCUCAUGCCUGGAAACCCAGCAACUUGGGAGGCUGAGGCAGAACGGUUGCUUGAGCCCAGGAGGUCAAGACCAGCUUGAGCAAGAGAGCAAGACCCUAUCUCUAUAAAAUAUAAAUUAAAAAUUAGCUGGGCAUAGUGGCACUGGUCUCUAGUCCCAGCUACUUGGGAGGCUGAGGAAGAAGGAUCACUUGAGUCCAAGAGUUCAAGGCUCAAGUGAACUAUGAUUGCACCACAGCACUCCAACCUGGGCGACAGAGGGAGACCUGGUCUCAGAAAAAUAAAUAAAUAAUAAAAUAGAAUUGUAUAGAAUGUAAUCCUUGCUCAGAGAGAGCUAACAGACUUGUCAGACAAUAAGAUCAGCAACCUGAAGAUGGCAACCAGGACAUUCAGUGUAAUUAAGGAUGUGAUUGAGAGGCGUAGACUGCUCUAUUAUUAUCUACAGAAUAGAAAUGGAGCAAUAAUACUGUAAUGACUCAGCCUGGCGUGGUGGCUCAUGCCUGCAAUCCCAGCACUUUGGGAGGCCGAGGUGGACAGGUCACUUAAGAAUAGGAGUUCGAGACCAGCCUGGCCAACAUAAUGUAACCCUGUCUCUACCAAAAAAUAUACAAAAAAAUACAAAAAUCAGCCAGGCAUGGUGAUGUGCACCUGUAGUUCCAGCUACUUGGGAGGUGAAGGUGGGAGGAUCAAUUGAGCCUGGGAGGGGGAGACUGCAGUGAUCCAAGAUUAUGAUC